GAGUGAGAGAGAGAGAGAGACACUGCCUAUUGCUACAUUCUUUUCCCACACUCAGAUCAUAGCAUAGAUAGAGUCCAGGGGGAAAUGCAGUUUUAAUUAAGGGAUAAAAUCAGGGUCUGUGUGCUUAGGGUGGGUGGGUUUAAAGUGCUCUGUGAGUUCAAAGUUCACAGUUCAGUUACCCACCCCUCCCCAAAAAAAGUGCAGUAGUUUUUUAAAUGCAAGAUGGCGACGAGGCAGUAAGAGGAGGAGGUACUGACACAGGCUGAGUGGGAGAGAGGCAGAGAGCAGCACUUCAAGAUUUUCAACUCUUCCCCAGAUCAGGAUGCACAGUAACAGAGAUCCAAAGCAGCGUCAAUAAACCACGUACUUUGAAAAGGUGCUGGGCCUCUGAAAGGGGUUGGAACACCUGCAGUAGUGAACACUAACUGUGGGAGUUGAACAAGCUGCCGAUCAAAUUCACAGUUCGUAGUCACUGUUCAGGAGAGUCAUGGGACAUGGAUGACUGGAAGUAAUGUCUGUCAAUAUGGAUGGACAGAACUGAGUGAGACAGCAUGCAUAGCAUUGUCUUCUUUCUUUGGUCCAGCCAGCAUUGCUCUGCAAGUGUCAUGAGCACUAUAUUAACACAGUUCGUGGAAUAGUAGAAACAGGCUUUUGAACACACAUUCAGACACCUUCCAAAAUAAUAGAAAUAAAAAUACUUGGCAGUUGCAUAGCACUCUAAAUCAUCAAAGCAUGUUACAAACCUUACCUAGAUGUUAUUAAAGGUCAAUAAUGGUAGUUUUUGACUAAAACCUGAAAAUUAAGAACACUUUUGUUUCCUGUAAAUUUAAAAAUUAACCUGAACUUGAAUCCUUAUGUUCUUAUUUUUGCUAUUUGUGUAUACCCUCAUCAUUAUUUUAUUGUUAAAGCUUCCAAAAGUGCGCAGAUUCACAGAACUAAUAGAGACAGUCUGUACCCCAAAGAGCUUUUUAACUAAGGCUCUGUUCCCAGGGGCUCAUGCAUGGGCAUAAGGGAUCACCUUGCAGGAAUGGGGCCUAAUAAUGUUCUAUAUAAUGAAUCAGGUUUGUGGGGAGAGAAUAGGGGUAGGGAAGGGCCUAUAGUAUAUUAAUAAGAUUGUACUGUGUUUAGACUUGCUACAGCAGUAUACAUCUUCAAAGACCUGUACAAAUUACCAGUUAAUCCUUAAAAUACCUACAAGGUAUGAAACUAUUUCCUGUUCAAAUAGGAGGAAAGUCAAGCAAGGGGGAGGCCUGAUGAUGCAUGGUGCUGAGUUGAGGGUGCUUUUCACCUCCCAAGGUGGAUCAGCACGCUGGUUAAAUGUCUGGGCAGAGAUCAGAGUGAGGUCUGGCCUAUACUACAGGGUUAGGCUGACGAAAGUUGCCUUGUGUCAACCUCGCUGUGGAAGUGUCUUCACUUAAAUUUGGCUCCUGCCAAUGUAAGUGCCUCUCUACACCGAUGUAGUAACACUACCUGCCUGAAUGGCAUCAAGUCAUAGUUGAUGUAAUUAAGUUGAUGCAAUGUCAAUGUAGUAGACACUGUUGCUUAUGUGGACUAUUACUAGCUUUCAGGAGCCACCCCACACUGACAAUACAAUCGAUACAAGUGCUUCUGGUAAGGACUCUGACACACUGAGCCAAGUGUGCAGACACACAAGUGAUGUAAUAACUUAAGUUGGCAUACAGACACCACAGUCAGGUCAAUAUAAUUUUGUAGUGUAGACCUGGCCUUAAUUAGGUGAAGCCACAAUCAAAACUCUGGAGUUCCUGACUCCCAACAGUGGUCUCAGCCCACUGAUUACAUUAGCAUCCACUAAUAACUUGUUAAAUACUAUGGGUGAGAUUUUCAAAAACACUCAGCAUUGGCCUAGCUCUGCAUUAAACCCACCAGUAACUAUUAGUAGUAGGAUUGGAUAUUUAUCUAUGCCCUGAUCCUGCAAAUUGCUCAGUGGAACUCUGCAUGGACACACAGGUUCACCCACACAGAAGUCUGGGUAUUCCACGUGGGUGCAGCAUCCGGAUCUUCAUGCAUAGAACAGUUUGCAGGUUUGGUGCCUAUAACAUAUAUCUGCUUGGAAUAGAUCUGUAAAAACAAGUGGAAGUUAAAAAUAAAUAUCCAGACCUUUAUACAU